UCAAACGCGUUCGGGAUUCCUUUUAAACGUGUCGCAUGAUUCCGAGCGACAUAGCAGUCGUGGCAACGGCAUAACGCAUCAUAUAUCCACGCACGCAGUUAUUUUCAGGAUAAUUUAAUGUUUAUCAAUUUACGUUUCUUCGGAGGUACAAAGAAGAGACGGGAGGGGAAGUCGGCGUGCGAGGGAGAACGGCAUGGGCAGGGAGGAGACCGUCGGAAAAUAAAUUCGCUCGUGCAGACUGUCGGGCCACCCGGGGAAUAAAAGUUUUUAAAUUGGAUUUAAUAGCGUCAGGAAUUUUCCUUUGAAGGAACGUACUUGCCUAUUGAUCGAGUACACCUACCUCUGCUUCCCUUCUCUCCCCCAUGCCCAUCGCGUUACCCCUUAACUCGCCGUGUUUCUCUUACUCUAUCGUUUUCUGCUCUCGCUUCUCUUCUCUACACCCGUCCCUUUGGCUUGCGUGCCCCUCCAUGCCGCCCCCUUUCCCCGUGUGUACGCGUAUACACUGUGCCCGUCCGCUCCAUCCCACCCCAUCCCGUCCUAUUUCAACUACUCUUACCUCCUACUCCCCCUCGCCGCCCUCUACCCGACCCCUCGUUCCAUCUCCAGCGAAUCGAAUACGCGUCUAUCUAUCUUCUUCCUCCGCUGCUUCCAAACUUUUCUUUCUCUCUCCACCCCCGCGGUCCUUCCUUCUCCCCUCGAAACCCUUUCCCCAGGACUGGCUCCUCAUACUGUUCCACCUAUCCAGCCGUGCCAAGAUGCAGUCGUACCUUUCCUACUCCCAUGGUACGUUCGCGUUCCCAUUCGCCUGUUUCCUCGUUUCCCGCGAGCGAAUGAGAUCCGCAGACCCCGUGUACCCGGUAUAUAUGUAUACCCGCCGUCCUUUCUAGUCAUCGGACGCGCGCGCCGCCCCCCAACUGGAUCGCGAAACCUUUCUUUAUUCCUUAACCGAAUUUCCUGCUAUUCGCAGGAUGACUCGUACAGAUCGCUAAGAAGACGACGUAACCGAGCCUGUGUCGCGGUCUAUUCGUCCUCUAAGCGUUUUCCAUUCUUCGCACGGAACGACCAAACAACCGAACACGCCCUCGAAUCACGCAACCUCGAAACGAUCUUUGCGUCAAUCGUGGCUCGUUCGGAUACAUUCGGCCUACAGCCGAAGCACACCGAUAGGGAGGGGUACGGCGAGUGUCCCGCGUUCCACGAUCGUCUUACCGCUUACGAUUCUCAACCGUUCAUCCCAGUGGACCUCGACAGAUACAAACAUAAAACUGGAUGAAAAGCUCUGUUUGGUCACCAUGUAUCGAAAACAUCAACCCUACCAACCGAUUCUGCUCGACCGUUAAACAUUCCGACGACAGAGGCGCCAUCGACAUUAUUGUUCCUCUACGUAAGUUCGAUAAGAGCGAAGAAGCAAAGCUGUAGAAAAACAACAAUUUUGCCCUCGCAAAGCAGAGAUGAAAGAAAAGAAAAUUUUAAAGAGGUCGCUGGAACGUGAAUUUUCUGUACGGAAUAAUAAAACGCUGUUACAAAGAAAACGUUUUGACUCGCACGGUGACUCUGACCGUUGAUGUCUCGAGCACAAAAAUAGCCUUUCCCUUUCCCUCUCCCGGCGCCUUUGCUUGUCCAUGGACUUUGUCCAUGUGCACGAACAUUGGUUAAUUAAUCAUAGAACGGUUAGAUUCCAAGACUCGACUCGAAUGCUUCUAAUAGAAACAACCAUUUAUUGUACAAAAAAUUAUGCAACUACGAUACUGCUGAUACUGCUUCAGCGAUAACUAUUAAGUGUGGAAGAUCGUUGUACAACCUGUCGUACGUCGCGAU